rnacentral:misc_RNA from 1 species
AAACAAUAGAUGUGUAUGUAUCUUGCCACCGAGAUGCUUAAAUUUUUCUUCUUUUUGUUUGAAGAAUAUAUGUGCUUAAUUGUCUUUUAGAGCAACCAGAUAUUAUUCAUCAGAUAAAAUCUCUUACCUCCAUGAAAUUCAUACGUUCGUUCAGUUUGUAUGUCAAAACCUUUGCACUUGUUUUUCUUUAAUUCAGGGAUCUUUCUUAUAAUAACUUCACAAAACAAAACCCUUCAUAUCCUGUUUGUCGGCAGACAAGGUCAGUAGCUAUCUUUCUUAUAAUAACUUCACAAAACAAAACCCUUCAUAUCCUGUUUGUCGGCAGACAAGGUCAGUAGCUAUCUUCUUUAAUUGACCAUAAAUGCAUCCCUCUCUAUACAUUUUAUGUGUCGCAAUGUUAUAAGGUCGAUCAAAGUGUUUAUAAUUUAUUUUGUUCUUUCUUUUUUCUUUUUAAUUCGCUAGGGAUUUGAAUCUAAACUUGUUCCGAAGUUCAUCGAUGAGGAAGGACUUACAUGGGGCAUGCAUGGAAGAUUUCAGAUGUGAUCGCUAUUGGCAUAAUUUAUAUAUAACCUGUGGUGGAUAUAAUGAGAUAAUAAAUGGAAGCACAUAUGAAGGAGAUGCACAAAAAGCUGGUAGUGCUGCAGGAUUUUAUGAAAUAAGCAAUAACUGGGUAUUCAGUAGCACUGGAGAUUUUAGUGGUGACAGAUAUAAUAGAAACUUGGACUCCAACAUUAUAAGUUUGUCAUCAUCAAAACUUGAUGGGUUGUAUCGAACAGCUCGCUUAUCUCCUCUUUCUCUUACUUACUAUCAAUAUUGUUUAAAGAAUGGAAGUUACAGUGUCAGUCUACACUUUUCUGAGAUCCAAUUCACAAGUGACGAACUAUAUUACAGUCUUGGGCAUCGUGUCUUUGAUAUCUAUAUUCAGGUAUGUCAACCAUCAAAAAUAUAUUUCUACCGGAGAUAGUUUAGUGUGUAAAAGUUACUUAAAUUUAACAGCUUUGAGUGAGAAUUGGAAGAUUGAUGCUGAAUUAGUACAAUAUAUUCAUUCAUGAGACA